rnacentral:rRNA from 1 species
UUCCUGCGGUCAGACGGAAAGACCCCGUGCACCUUUACUGUAGCUUUGCGCUGGCCUUCGUGUCGGCAUGUGUAGGAUAGGUGGUAGGCUUUGAAGCCGGGGCGUCAGCCCUGGUGGAGCCGUCCUUGAAAUACCACCCUUGGCGAUAUGGUGGUCUAACCGCGACCCUUGAUCGGGGUCCGGGACCGCGCAUGGCAGGCAGUUUGACUGGGGCGGUCGCCUCCCAAAGCGUAACGGAGGCGUACGAAGGUGGGCUCAGAGCGGUCGGAAAUCGCUCGUCGCGUGCAAUGGCA